GACGAACGCUGGCGGCGUGCCUAAUACAUGCAAGUCGAACGCUUUUUCUUUCACCGGAGCUUGCUCCACCGAAAGAAAAAGAGUGGCGAACGGGUGAGUAACACGUGGGUUAUCUGCCCAACAGAAGGGGAUAACACUGGGAAAUAGGUGCUAAUACCGUAUAACACUAUUUUCCGCAUGGAAGAAAGUUGAAAGGCGCUUUUGCGUCACUGAUGGACGGAGCCGCGGUGCAUUAGCUAGUUGGUGAGGUAACGGCGCACCAAGGCAACGAUGCAUAGCCGACCUGAGAGGGUGAACGGCCACACUGGGACUGAGACACGGCCCAGACUCCUACGGGAGGCAGCAGUAGGGAAUCUUCGGCAAUGGACGAAAGUCUGACCGAGCAACGCCGCGUGAGUGAAGAAGGUUUUCGGAUCGUAAAACUCUGUUGUUAGAGAAGAACAAGGAUGGGAGUAAAAUGUUCAUCCCUUGACGGUAUCUAACCAGAAAGCCACGGCUAACUACGUGCCAGCCGCCGCGGUAA
rnacentral:rRNA from 1 species